CCCACGCCCCCCACACCCACCGCGGCCGGGUGCGCGCGCCAACCCGGGACUAGCGGUCGGGCGCCCGUCGCUACAGGUUUGGGACCAGGGGCCGAUUACCGGGAGCCCCUAGGCUGAGCCUCUGCCAGAAUUUUCUUCCGAAGUUAGAUAGUUGUCUAACUUGGCGGCUCUGCGACAGGUGGGGAGCGGGUACCUUCAUGAGGGAGAAAAAGUGUGUGUGUGUGUCGCUGACUCGCAGGUACCAACAGUAGUGGGGGAGGGGGGACACGUACAAAACCGAAAGUUUACAACGGCGUUUUCCAAGCUACAAAACUGCAUAAAGUUGAGAGGUCAGAGAAGGACACCCUCCAUGGCUUCUGCUUCCUUGAAAAGGUUGCCUCAGAGCUGUGUCUUCAACACCAAGCUUACAGAAAUGAACCGGAGGGGGAAAUGAGGGGGGCUGCAUUAUGACUUUCGUAAGCCUUAGGCACUUGGGCUUUCAUGGGCUCCUUCCUCCGUAAAAAAAUAUUUAAGAAUAUAUUUAAUAACUGUGGUGGUUACUGAUGUUAUAUACUAAACCAUUUUCUUCUACCCAAAAGUUCUUUUUUUCCUGUUGAUUUUAAAAGAAGAAUAUUUUCAUGGGCCCAUCAAGUAUUGUGGGCCUGAGGCUCCAUCCAUGCCUGCUGUGCCCAGUGGGUAAGCUGACCUUGGACAAAGCCAGGGUGGUGUGACAAAGCCUGGAUAGAACAUUAAAGGACCUGGAAGGUCUGAUUCUCUUGGGGGAAUGGAGUGAGAGAGGCUAUAAACACAGGCGGCAGCUGAACAAGAAGGGCCUUGAAUGACGGGAGGAGUGUGGAUUUUAUGGUGGAGGUGGUGAGGAGCCAUUGCAGGGCUGGACUGGAGGAUUGAUAGUUAGGGGGUGGCACUGGAGGUGGGAAGGGCAUUGGGAUCGCUGUCGCUGUAAUGACAUCCAAACUCUUCCUAAGCCACAGUGGAGAUGGAAGGGAGGGGGAAGGGUAAGCCACAGAUUGAUGUGAGGAGGUGGGGCCUGGAGAAGCCUGGGUUGACUUCUCUGGCUCAUCCCUCCUGGACAGGAGAAAACAAGAGGAGAAACUGUACCAGCUUCAGGACUUUGGGAAGAUCAAAUGGAGGGUUCUUCACCAGUCACAAAGCAGGGAGAGUUUGCAUACCUUAAUAGGUGUGUGGGCGGCUUCAGGGCCACCUCUUGCCCAGAUGGCCCAGAAGACAAAACCACAGUCCUCACCUGGGCAUUUCCAGAGUUCAGAAUGAGAAGAAACAGACUGGGUUUUCAACACCUCUUACAGUAGAACACUGUUCCAGAAUCUCAUUUGGCUACAUGUUGCUCAAUCCCCAAUAACUGCCCUUUCUCCCCAACCCUGCAGUCCCUGCCAGAAAACAAAAAACAAACAAAAAACUGUACGUGAUUCCCACCUUCCAACGCAAACACGGCUUCCUCCAGAGCAGACCAGGCCAAAAUCAAGGGCUGGGAUAGGAACUAUACUUACAGGGAGAAGAACUGGGCUCAAAUGACUCCUUGAAAGACAAACCUUCAUUUAUUCACUCUAAAACAUGGAUUGAGCACCUACUAUGUGCUUUUGUACCAUUCUAGGCACUGGAGAUGCAACAAUAAACAAAUGAGAAGUGGUUGGCAUGGAGAUGAUACUCCAGUGGAGAGAGAUUUGCCUGUGGAGAUGGCACUUUCCAAAGUUGGCCACAUAUUCUUCUAGAACGUUGCCUCUUCCUCAUCAAAAGGUGACAAUUUUGACUGCUGUUAGCAUUUAUUUUUUCAUACCAAAUCCUCUUCAUUCCUGGUUCUGAAACUUGACCAAGAGAAGUGUCUGCUUCUGGACCUUUUUCCAUUUAGUCAAGUCAGCGCUGGAGGGUGCUUUUUGUCAGAAGAGUGUGUCUUCAGUCACCUAUAUUAAUUAACCCAGCCCCUCAUUUCAAGUAUGAAUGGGCAACAACUAGCCACCAGACGUUUCUGCAAAAGCAACAGGAAAAUUAAGAAGGACCAAGAUGAACAAACAGGAACAAAACAAAACAAAACACACCAGAUAUAAUUCAGGGAACUGAAAGUGCUGACUGGCCUCCUCUAAAUCCAUGUGAAUAUUGAAACCCCAAGACGGGACUCAGACAUGCAUUCUUGGAAGGAAUAUACAGAAGUGAUGCUGUCUUCUCCUCACUGCAUCGCAUCAGGAGGCUCGUGACAUUGACCAGUUCUACUGCUGGUAAUAUUAAUCUCGAUCACUUGGUCAGUUCAGUGUCUGCCUGGUUUCUCCACAUUAAGUCAUUAUUUCCCUUUUUGUAAUUGAUAAGUAUUUUAUGGGAAGAUACUCUCAAACUAUGCCAAUAUCCUACAUUUCAUUAAAUCUCUAUU